rnacentral:rRNA from 1 species
UACGUAGGGACCAAGCGUUGUUCGGAUUUACUGGGCGUACAGGGAGCGUAGGCGGUUGGGUAAGCCCUCCGUGAAAUCUCCAGGCUUAACCUGGAAAGUGCAGAGGGGACUGCUUAGCUAGAGGAUGGGAGAGGAGCGCGGAAUUCCCGGUGUAGCGGUGAAAUGCGUAGAGAUCGGGAGGAAGGCCGGUGGCGAAGGCGGCGCUCUGGAACAUUUCUGACGCUGAGGCUCGAAAGCGUGGGGAGCAAACAGG